rnacentral:lncRNA from 1 species
UCCCGUAGCCCAUGUUCAAAAGAAAGAAAAAGAAGGAGAAAAGAGGGGGAUAGGAAGGAAAAGAGGGAAAGGAUAAGAGAGCAAUAAUUAUACUUUCUCCCACCUCUAUUUCUCCUACAACAAAAUCAGCAGAAAGAAAAGAAAGAAAAAGAGAGAGAAUGAAAGAGAAAGAAAGAAGAAGAUGAAACCAUGGAAGCAUGAAGGAAGAAUAAGAAAUCAAAAGGUAAAACCAAAAUUUUUCAUCUCUUUACUUUUCUUAAGAGUUUGAUUUGUUGAAAGUUGGGUUAUAGGGGAUCAUGAUGGAUCCAAAGUAAUAAGGAAGUAUAUGAUAAAUAUUUUAUGUUUAAUCUAUGUCAUAAUUGAAUUUAAGAUCAAAAAGUUAGGAAUGUGUUUGAGGAUGAAUAAAAGUUAUUUUGAGGACUUAAAUCAAACUUGUAAAAGUGUUGAUAGUUGAUUAAUGUGUAAUAUCUGAGGAGGAUGAUCUAUAGAUUAAGAAGUUAUGGAAAUAUUCCAAUUUGAACGGACUAAAAAUGAUUUAAAUCGAAGUAGUGGUGAAAGUUUUCGUAAACAUGUUAAACGAUGAAAAACUUAGUCUUGGGGGACUUUUGAGCAAAAUUUUUGAAUAAUUAAUGAAUCUGAAAAAUUAUGAAAUCAUGGAGGUUUUGUAGAGCAUGUUACAAUCUUUCCAUAACCUUGAAAAUGGACUAAUUCCGACUUAAAAUGAAGAAGUUAUAAAGAUUUGAAGUAUGUGCGUCAAAAGUUGCAAAAUCUAGAACAUUGGAGUUAAGUGCCAAGGGUCGAGCGCCUAAGCACUAGGCUCGGCGCUUAGAAUCUGUUCUAGGGCGCCUAGGCGCUUGCCCAAGGCCAAAUUUGGGCGCCUAGGCGCUGAUCUAGUGUUAAGCCAAAAUCUGUUCAGACGUCCUUUAGUAAAUUGGGCAUAACGUCUUCAUAUGAACUCCGAUUGAGGUGAUUCAGGAUGAUUUAAAAAGAUAACGAGUAGACCCAAAACUUUUAUUCUUUAUAUUUUGAGAUUUGAGGUAGUUAUCAAGGCCUAAAAUGGCUAUUUUAGUGACUAAUGUGCAUUUAGAGGCAAUCAGAGGACGUCGGGCAUGCACGUAUGCAACGUGUAAUGUUUUCGAUGAUAAAUGAUGUUGUUAUAAGUUGUAAAACAUGAAAAUUAUUAAAUAUAAUGAUAUUAUGCGAUGAAUAAAGACAACUUAAAUGAACAAUGAAUUAUUAGUUGGUGUAUAUGUUAUUCGAUAUAAUUAUGAUUUGAUGUUGAUCCUUACUUUUAAUAGAAUUUGAAUUGUUUAUAAGUAAGGUAUUAAUUUGAUUCUUACAUAAGAAGUCACUAUGUAUUUUAUUCAAUAAUUGUCACAGUAGUUAUUACACAGUGAUUCAUAUUAUUGAUUCUUAAUUAUGUAAGAAGUCACUCAGUCUUUUAUUCAAUAAUUGCCACAGUAGUUAUUGCACAGUGACUCAUAUUAUUUGAUAUGAUAUAAUUAAACCAGUUGGCAGUAUUGAGAGUAUAUGUUAAUAAUUGUGAAUAAUGGUUCAAAGAUUGAAAAUGGUGUUGAUUAAAGAUAAGUAUGAUAUACAGAUGGUUGUUCAAUUAUUUUCUUUUUUACAAAAGUAAGUUUGGCAGGACUUGCGAACACUCUACUUUUACUAAAGUAGUAUGGACCACAACUCUAUUAUUGAACAAAUUUUAUUAAAACGUGUACAAAGUUGGUUUAAUUUUCUCUGUUGGACCAUAAAUUCCACUACCAUUUUUAUAUACCUCAUUUGGUUAAUUUGUCAAAGCAGAUGUGCUUGUUUACUAAAUUUUUAGUAUAAAUAGGUUGCUCGGUUGAGUAACUAAACACACAUCAUCACUACACUAAAAGUAUAGAAUUCUUUUACUUCAAUAUUGUGAGUAUUUCUAUUGAGUUUAAUGUUACUCCAAGUGUAGAUAAGGAAUGCAAGCAUUGUUUAAGUUGAUUAAUUUCAUAGAAAGCAAAAUCAAGUCACAUGCUAAGGUAAGGGAUAUCAUUAUUAUGGUAAGAGGGUAUCAUUUCACUGUUGAUUUACUUGAUUAUAAAUAUGAAUUAUGAUUUAAUUAUAAUCUGUGGUGGUUCAGGUGAAAACAUGUGAUGAGAGUUCUCUUUGUCUUGGGUAUAACCAAGAACUGUUGAUGAGUAUUACAGGAAUGAAAUAUUAACGAUGGACUUUUAUUCUAGGGGAGAUAGUAGACAUUAUGUUCUACUUGAUUCUUCUAAUGGAUUGUUGAUUUCGCUGCUAUUAUGGUUGGAAACUUUUAUCUUCUACCAUAUGUUCUAAAUAUCUGAAUUAUUAUUGAUGAAGGCUAUUGAUAAUUUAAUUAUCUUAAGUCAUGAUAUUCUUUACUGGGCUAUUUGUGCUCACCCUUUUACUUCAGCACCCCUUUUAGGUAAUAAAAGUGUAGCUGAGACUAGCAGAGAGAACAUGAGUAUAAAGUGUUGAUACGAAUUAGUCACAAGCCUAAUCAAAUUAUGAAACGUGUGGCAUAAUAAUUGUACUGAGAACUUAAAAUGUGUGUGACAUAUUUUAUACAUCAUUUGAUAUUUAAUUUUGGUGAACAACAAUUGGGUGAGGUGAAUCAGAAUUUGGAAACGUCAAAAAUGCACUCCAUUAGAAUGAGGAGGACAGAAAUCUUCUCGUGUUCCUUUGGGGACUUGAAAUAUUUGCUGCUGUACUUUAGAUGGCAUUGUAAUAAUUUGAGUAUGAAUAUUGUCGUAUUAUAUACGUUACAAUAUUUGUAUUGAAACUCACAGUAUAUGUGUCGUCGUAUUUUGCACUACAGUUGUAUAAAUGAAGCUGUCAGUCAUGUAUUUUCUAGCGACCAAGGAUGGGUGGCGUAUACCUAUUUUGGGGGCAUCACAACAGGAUACUGGAAUAGUGAGGUAUCAGACUUCUCUUCUUCUUUCUCUCUAUAAUUUCUCUAUAAUAAUUACUCUUGUGAGACUUAGUGAAUUGGUGAGAAUGAAGGAAGAAUGAGCUUCUAUUUAUAGGAAAAUAUAGUUUCGAUAAUUGCACGUUUUGGGGCUCGAAAUAUUACAAUAUAAUACCUUUAUCUUUUCUUUCAUUUUUAAUUUAGUCCUACAAGUAUUAUCAAACUUGCACCACCUCACCUAAUAGUAAAUCAUGUGAAUCAAUAGUAAAUCAUGUGACUCAAUAGUUCUAAACAUGUGAAAAAAAUAAUUACAGUAUAGUACCUUCAUCUAUAAUUUAAUCAUGCAAGUAUUAUCAAUCUUGCACCACCUCCCCUAAUAGUACAUACAUGUGAACACAUAGUUAUAAGCAUGUGAAUCAAUAGCAAUUAAUUCCUCAUUUAUUCGAUUAAUUACCCGAUUGGUCAAUAUAACCUCUAGACAUCAAUUAUUAUCGAAAUAAAUGUCGAUUUCCACUAACACUAAUAAUUCCAACACAAUGGAACUAUUAAUUUCAUCAUUAAUCAACACGAACUUAUUCAUAAUUAAUAUUAUAAUUCACAAUAUUUAACAACCAGGUCGUUCCCAGGAAAGAGGGGGCUUUCCGAUAAGGAUUUCUCCUUAUUGGCGCGCAAUUAGGUGACCAAACCUCUCCUUGAUAGAACUUCUAGACAUUGUCAAUAUUGCAAAUAAUAAUAUGAAUAACUUUGUUGUCUCAAUUAUUGAUUUAAUAAUAUAAUAUAUUAUACAGUUGAUACUAUGACAAUAAUUGAAUCAAUAAUAUGAGAGUUAUGAUGCAGCAAUUACUGUAGCAAUAAUUGAGUAUAACUGAGUGACUUCUUACGUAAGCAUCAAUAAUCAAUACCGUGUGCUUCUAUGCAACCACACGUAUUACUGUACUUUUACUACCGGGUAGUUCAACAGUUUUAACGGUAACACUCGCCGUUAUUUUUAUAAAAUGAUAAUUUUAUCAUUUUCUAACUACGACAAUACUUCCGUUGUGGGGUCCACAUCGUCGUACGAAUAUUUCUUGUUAAAACGAAUAUUCCCCUACCAAUCGAAUAUUAUAUAACAACUUUCUUACUUUACAAAAUUUAUAAAUAUUACACACAACUAUAACAUUAUAUCAAAUCCACACUAUAAUAUUCAAAAAAAUAUUUCGAGAAAUUUAAAUCUUUAUUCAUAAAAUUUGGGGUCUCACAAUCUCCCCUCCUUAUGAAAUUUUGCCCUCGAAAUUUACGUACGUACCAGGUAUGCUGAAGAGAUGAGGAUACCUUGACUUCAUUUCAGAUUCUAACUCUUGAGGUAUAACCUUUGAGUGUCGAAUAUAAUCCUUCUUAUCCAAGAUUUUAACACGUAUCUCCUCAUAAAUUAAAUCUUUUUCUAUCUCGUCUAGUUCUAAUUCAAUAAUGUGGUUUGGGUCAUCCACAUAAUUAUGUAACAUCGAUACGUGAAAAACGUUAAGAACACACGACAUACUUGACGGUAAAACGAGUCUAUAGGCCACAGUUCCUACUCGAUCGAGGAUUUCAAAUGGGCCAAUUAAAUCGAGGGUUGAGAUUUCCUCUAUUCAUCGACUCUUGCUUCUAGAAUAACGCCUUCUUGAACCUUCUUCUUCAUAUUCAUCAGCUCCAGGUGUGUAGUUUGAGCAGCUUUAACUUUAUCGAUUAAAGUCCAUUCUACUCGUAUAUUCGUUAUCUUCACGUGGGUCUCUAGAGUCUUUAACUCUAUCUUCGUCAUUGUAAGUUAUACGAAAUGGGUUUUUGUGUUAACAAUAUUGCACUCGUAAACGCAUACGAUCUUCUACUCAACGCGUCAGCUACCACAUUCGUUCUUCCACAAUGAUAUUGAAUGGUAUAGUCGUAAUCUUCAACAGCUCGAGCCAACAUCUUUGGCGUAUUAUAUGUUUGUUUUGGUUGAAGAAAUAUUUAAGGGUUGAAGAAAUGGGUUUUAUACUGUGGUCAAUACAAAAUUCGAUUUCACGCUCUAGGGUAGGCGAGGAAGUUCUUCGAGAAUACGUCAGGAAAUUUAUUAACGAUAGAAAUAUCAUUCAAAACUGUGACUCUCAUCCAAGACUUGGAUAGGACAUGAAAUGAAGGUUUCUACUAACGGAGUUUCAACCGAUAAGUCAAAGACUAAUUUCUUCGAAGUCAAAUUUAAACUUUGAGCGCAAGCAAGAGAGACAAAAUAAUGGGUAGAACCGGUAUCUAAUAAGGUAUAGACUUCGCCAGAAUUUAUAAUUAACUAACCUGUACUAACUUCGUUCGGGUUACUCGCUUUUUGAGAAGUCACGAAAAACGUUCUUCCUAAAACCACCGACUUUGUUUUGUCCGUAUCCGCCUUUAGUGCCACCAUCCCAACUGGACUUGACUUUAGCGCACGACAAAAUCGGGCUAGGUGAUCUUCUUUUCCAUAAUUAUAACAUGCUUUAGACUGUAUCACACAGUUUGGAACGGGUGCUGGUGAUACUGUCUUUCCAUCAUUUAAAACAUACGACCGACGGUCGUUCUCCUUCCUUUGAAACGGGUGCUGGUGCUACUGUCUUUCCAUCAUUAUUGAACCUUCUCUUCUUGAAAUUUCCACUUCUAUUAUCUUGGCCAUGAUUACCACUGAAGUGGUUACCAUUUCUAGCAUGAUAAUUUCCUCCACGAUGGUUAUCGUUGUUCCGAUGGCCGUUGCCACCGGUACGAUUAUUAUCGUGUUGCUAGUCAUUACCUUUUGGUUGAGCUGACUCAACGGUCUCAUGUGCUUCAUUGCUUAUCUCAACAUUUUCAGAUGCCUUUCUCAAACACUAUCACAAAACAAGGGUUAAUUGACAUGUCACAUAUUAUCCCUAUACUCUGACCGACCAAUUAAAUACCAAGUAAACUUAGGUAGGUCAUACUAGCGAAAGAAUUCUCCGUCUCUCCCCUCCUAGUUCUUGUCUCACAUCUCAGCCAGGGAUCAUAUUCCUAAGCUUUGAUACCAAUUGUGACGCCCCCAAAAUAGGUAUACAUCACCCAUCUUGAGUAGCUAGAUACAUGGUACAUAAAUUCAAAUACAACUUAAUUAUACAACAGUCGUGUAAAAUACGACAAAAUAUAGCUGAGAGUUUAAACAAGAAUAUUGUCAUCUAGACAAUAUCCACACUCAAUGGUGUCCUCAUUACAAUUAUUAUCACAUUAUUCCGUAGAAUAGUGAGGACUACUAAAGCCAUUUAUCCUGGACCAUCACUCCAUUUCCCGACUCGUCCCAGCUAUAUUCUCAUUUCCUGAAGAGAACAAUGAAAGAAAGGGUGAGCUCAACUAGCCCAGUAAGAAAUAUUAUGACUAAGAUAAUGCAGAAUAAAUUAUCCUUAGCCUUCAACAGUAUAACAACUGAUAGAAUACAAUAGACAACAAGUUUUAGAUCAACAACUGCAGCGGAAAUAAGCAAUCCAUUAGAAGAGUCAAGUAGAGCAUAAAAUCUACUAUCUUCUAUGAUUUAAAAAGUUUUUCAUCAACUUUAUCGCUGAGACUCAGCUUAAUAAAUAAAAUCGAAUCAUCCCUGCACCACGGCCAAGGAUAUUCAUGUAAUCAUCAAUGGUCAUGAUUAUACCGAAUAAUCCCUGGUCAUAAUCAUACCAACAACUGUCCAUCAAUGAACUACAGGCCAAUGAGGACUUUUACCACAUCAUUCGUCACAUUACGGUCAUGAUUAUACCGAAUAAUCCCUGGUCAUAAUCAUACCAAGUUCAUCUAUGCACGUAAGCCAAAGAUGACUUUAAUCACAAUAUAAGCAUGAGGAUGAUGACAAUGACAUAAUAAUUCAAUAAAACAAGUUCAAGGAUAAAUUUUUAAAGAUUUAUAAUUUAAUUUAUCCAGAAAUUAAUAACGUCCAAAUUGUCAACAUGAUACUGCUUUGUAGAGUAAAAUUCAAGAAUAAUAUUCAUGUACCAAAAAUAAUUUGGACAGCAAAAAAAUAUAUUUUUCGGGUGAAUAGUACUCCGUGAAUAGUACCCCGACACGAAAAGUAUCCCAAAUACCCGAGUGAAUGAUACUAGAGUGAAUAGUAAUCGGGUGAAUAGUAACCCGUGAAUAGUAACUCGUGAAUAGUACUCCGGCAUAAAAAGUAUCCUGAAUACCCGAGUGAAUAAUACUAGAGUGAAUAGUAACCGGGUGAAUAGUAACCCGUGAAUAGUAACUCGUAAAAAAAUACUAAGGAAAACGAUAUUCCAUGACGAGUACAAAAGAAAUGAUAUCUCAGACGAGUAUAAUAGAAUAUACGAAAUUGCAAAUGAAUUUUCACCCGCCAUGCGGUAAUCCACGUAGACAGACCAUUUCCACAAUUUAAUAAGGAAUGAAUACAAAGGAUCAUUCACCAUGCAUGCGGUAAUCCACAUAGAAAUGUUAUUCCAACAAAAUAAUAAAGAAUGGAAUAACAAAAGAAUUCACCAUGCAUGCGAUAGACCGCACAGACAGGUUAUUCCCAACAGAAUAAUAAAGAAUGGAAUAACAGAAGAAUUCACCAUGUAUGCGAUAGAACGCACAGACAGGUUAUUCCCAACAGAAUAAUAAAGAAUGGAAUAACAGAAGAAUUCACCAUGUAUGCGAUAGAACGCACAGACAGGUUAUUCCCAACAGAAUAAUAAAGAAUGGAAUAACAGAAGAAUUCACCAUGUAUGCGAUAGAACGCACAGACAGGUUAUUCCCAACAGAAUAAUAAAGAAUGGAAUAACAGAAGAAUUUCACCAUGUAUACGGUACUUCGUAUAGACAGGUUAUUCCAACAUAAUAAUAAAGAAUGGAAUAACAGAAGCUCCCUUCAUGAAUACGAAAGAAAUAAUACCCCUUACCUUAGAAGAAAUAACAUUAUAUCAAAUCCACACCAUAAUAUUCAAAAAAAUAUUUCGAGAAAUUUAAAUCUUUAUUCAUAAAAUUUGGGGUCUCACAGAUAUUAUGCAGGAAUUACUGUAGCAAUAAUUGAGUAUAACUGAGUGACUUCUCACGUAAGCAUCAAUAAUCAAUAUCGUGUGCUACUAUGCAACCACGCGUAUUACUGUACUUUUACUACCGGGUAGUUCAACAGUUUUAACGGUAACACUUUCGCCGUUAUUUUUAUAAAAUGAUAAUUCUGUCGUUUUCUAACUACGACAAUACUUUUGUUUUGGGUUCCACCAAUGAUUGUGUCAUCGUACGGAUAUUCCUGACAAAAAGAAUAUUCCAUGACCAAACAAAUAUUUUAUAACAACUUGCUUACUUUGCAAAAAAUUUCACAUAUCACCCUUAACUUUAAUAUUUUAUCAAUUUAACCAUUUACGAAAUAAAAUAAUAAUUAUAAGAAAAUUGAAUACUUUCAUUUCAUAAAAUUCGGGGUCUUACACCCUGCAGGUCAGUUCCAUAGUUCAAUUACAAUGCCCCAUGUCAUUAUUUUAUUUUAUUUAGUAUUGAGAAAUUAAGUAAAUACUACUUAGUUCAAUAUAUAAUUUAUUUUAUUUUAUUUUUAUUAUUUUUUAAUAUUCUAUUUAGUAUUGAGAAACUAAAUAAAUACGUACUAAUUAGUUCAUUAUUUUAUUUAUUCUAUUUUACUUUACUUUAUUUUAUUUUAUUUUAUUUAGUAUUGAUAAACUAAGUAAAUACUAAUUAUUUUAUUAUAUUAUUUAUUUUAUUUUAUUUGUUUUAUUUUAUAAUAUUUUAUUUAGUUUAUUUUAUUUUAUUUAGUAUUGAGAAACUAAGUAAAUACUAUUAAUUCAUUAUAUUAUAUUAUUUAUUUUAUUUUGUUUCAUUUUUAUUAUUUUAAAUAGUACAAAUUGUCCUAAAUUAAACGGUACACACUAUUGUUUCUUCCAAUAUUUCAGUUUAUUAAAUGAAAUUAUUCAAAAAUCAUAAUAUUCGAGUCUACAAAUUUAUUUUAAACAUUAUUUUAUCAAAACAUAGCUCACCGCACUCAUCAAAUUAAAUUCGGAAUGCUACCCAAAAUCAGAAUUAUGACAAGUUUCUAAAAAAUCAGAGGAUUCAAGUGCUAAAUCAAAUUCAAUUAUAUUCAGAAUGACAAUUCCUAAAUCAGAAGAUCCAAGUGCUUCCCAAGUUUCUCCAGUUUGUGUAAUGCUAUGGCAUAAGAAAUCCCAACCAAACUCACAUGACAUAUGACAUAGAAGGCUCAAACAUUUGAGAUACAAAAUCUAACAAUAUCUAACACUUGUUCGGAAAAAACUAUAACUACAUGCACAAAAUAUACACUGGGAUUCAACAUAUAUAUAAGAUUCAACCUAAGAUUUCAACAUUUUCUUAAAAAAUUCAAAUGAGAACAAAAAAAAAAUUAAUACCUGAUUUAUAGAGUGGCCUGGGCUUGGUCGAUGGCGACAACUUCGACGGUAGCAACCUUCCUCUCUUCCCUCUUCUUCUCCAUUUUCUCCCUCUUCUCCCUCUUCUUUUUCUUUCUUUCCACCGUCUCCUGGGCUGCUCGACUGCCUAUUUUGAUUAGAUUAAAGAAGAUCAGGGACCACAUGCGGUCGCUGUUUUUUAAUGACGUGGAUGUAUUAGAGACCGCUGGCGAUCGUUGGAAUUUGUUGGUCGUAAUAAACCUCCCCACCAACAUUUGCGCAAAAUUUAUGACGGCAAAAUUAAAUCAGCGACUGCAUGCGGUCGCUGAUAGUAGCUAGCAACUAGAUUUACAUACGGUUGCUAAUAUCGGUCGCUAUUAAUAACAUUAACGACCGGAUUAUGCGAUCGCUGAAAGUAUUGAUCGUUGUUGGACCAUUUUAUUAUAGUGUCGCCUCGUUUUCAAGCCUAUUGAUUGUAAUUAAGUCUAAGUUUUGACUCUAGACUGGAGAAUUAAAGUCUCCCCACUUAUAUCCGGAAUGUGUUUUCAUUAAGGCCAAUUAUGGAUGUGUGGACUUUAAACCUGGAUCAAGAUGUUUGCUUGCAAUGAUUAUACUUGAAAUAUGACUAUUAAUCACAAGUGUCUUAUUUGUUUUUAAAUUUGAACUUGAGACUAUUACUCCAUAGAUUAUAAAAUGACUUAAUAUAGGGGACUAUUUAAUACCAUGUUCAACUAGGUAUUAUAAUCUCAUAAAUUAUAAUCCCAAAAUUAUAAUACUUGUAAAGAAACAUGAGUUAUUGUCGUAUGUAAACUUAAGAAUGACAUUAUGUUAUUUUGACCAUCACAAAUUUAUCCGAAAUGUCAUAACGUUAAUUACAAUUAUAAUAUGUUUAUAUUUCUUAUAACUAAGAAUGUUUUAAAUUAAAUUUGAAAAAAGUAAAACCUAAUUUUACAUUUUAAACUUGAUAUUAUAAUCCCUAUAUAUGCAAAACGUGAUUUGAUUUGGACGCAAAGGUCAAAACGGAGAAGCGAAAUAUAGAUUAGAGAGGCUGCCCUUUCAAAGUAUAAAAGACUAACUACACAUCCAAGUUUCUUUCUCACAACCUAACGCUAUAAAUCAUUUGUUGAAUAUAUUUGAUCACAUGCAUUAUUAAUUUGCAUUUUUCUCCAUUUUCAUGUUUCUUUUUCCAAGUACACGUGGGAAAAAAAUUCAAUCCAAAUCGUUCCAAGUACAACUCGUCCUUUCUCAACCCUACUUAAUUCACAAAUACAAUUAUUUCCAAAUGUUGAAAUUUAAUAUAUACUAUAAGAAAUAUAUAGCUCACCCACUCUUCAUACAAGUCAAAAGAUGGCUGAAUUAAACAAUGUGUAGGUCAUACAUUAUUCUUAUUUUUAAGGGAUAACUUAGUCUUCAAAUUAUAAUUAUUUUUUUAUAUUUAGUCUCUUAACUAUUUUUUCGCAUAUUUUAUUUUUAAAUUAUAUUUUUCUUUCAUGUUAAUCACUUAAUUAAAAUAGAGUAUUUUUCACGUUUAAUUUUUAAAUUGUGAUUGUUAUUCAUAUUUGGUCUUUAAUUUAUAUAGUUGUUUUUCAUAUUUAGUACCCUUUAAUUACUCUAUUUUUAUAAAAUUUGACAAAGAUUAAAAAAAAUAAUAAAAUAUGAGGACGAAAUGCGUGAAAACAAAUAAUUUAAAAACUAAACAUGCAAAACAACAAUAAUUUAGAUAUAACGAAGAGGUUAUCCCUAUUUUUAACUCCGCCUAAUUCAAAUGUUCAUCAAUUGUAUAAAUAGACACAAAGUUAAUGAUACAAACUACUUGUAAUAUACGUCUAGUUAAAAUACAAUCGAUUUGACAUAUUUUUUUUAUAUGCAUAAAAAUUGUAUAUGUUGUGAAUAUUGCAGAUCUAUAUACAUGUUCUUAUGAAAUUAUAUUCUGAUCUAAAAGAUUAAGAUUCCUUGUAACAUAUGAUCCCUUCAUUUAUAUAGACACCAAAUUUCUUCUUAAAUUUUCACUACAAGAAAAAGGCCCAACAGUAAUUAAAAUUAUCUGUGACCGCCAUUUGUUGUCGCUAAUACUUAUAACAUCGACCGGUAUUAACGACCUCAUUUUAAUUUAGUCAUUAUUACUUUCCGUGAUUGUAAUCGGUCGAUGUUCGGUCGCUAAAAGAAUUUUCUAACAAAAAUUUGGCGUGAAAGUGGGGCGGGAAGCCUUUUUGCGACCGGAUCGUAAUAGCGACCGGAUAUCGGUUGCUAAUUCUACCACAUAGUUAAAAAUUAGCGACCGCGGGAGGUCGCAGAAAGCAGUCGAUGAUCCUAUUUAAUCUAUCAGGAAUUAGACAGUCAGACAGAAAUGAAAAAGAAUUAAGAAAAGAGAAGAGGGAGAAGAGAGAAUAGAGGAGUGCCCCCACCCCGGCCGGUCCACCCCACGCCGCCCUAUCAGGUAUAGUUUCUUAGUAAUGUAAUGUGUAUAAAUGUAUAAAUUAAUGUGUAUAAAUGUAUAAUUCUUUUAACUGAACAUAUGUAUAAUUUUCUUAUGUGCACUUUAAUGGUGAGUAGUAAUUUUAACUCAACUCGUGUGUAAAAGCUUUGCGAAAUAAAUCUUCAAUUUACCAAACUUGGAAAUUUUAUAUGGGUAUUAACAAGUACAAUCUAAUUAUAUCAAUGGUGCAUUGAUAUGUUCCAGAUGCAUGAAUUAUACCAUUUUUGAAUCAAUGUAUUAAUAUUAACCUUCAUCUUAGAAAGUAUAUAUAAUAUCACUAAUACAUUAUAAUACAGUAUAAUGCUUACAAUUAUUUAUUAGUGUAGUGCGAUUUAAAAGAAUGAACCCUCUAAUGCAUUCUAGUAUAGCAUUUUCAUAAAUUGAGAUGAGUAGAGGUGCAAUUAUUUAUGCAAAUUUUUGUAAAUAAGUACGAUACCAAAUUACUUAAUAAUCGCUAUCACACCGUACCAUAGUCAUCGUAAUUUUAUGGUGUGGUACUCGUACAAAAAAGCUUACCUGAGUUGCUCUUUAGAAUUCUAAGUUGGCACAAACAAUAAUCGAAUAGUCUUACCUUUUUUUAUGUUGUGCUUUGUAGGAUUAACUUUUUGAUGCUUUUGCAUCCAUUCGUUAUUGUUUUGGCCUUAUUAUAUUUUGAAUUUGUAUAUUUCUCUUGGGUAGUGUCUUGGGUGCCUACAAAUGACCAUAUAUGCAUACCCUCGUGCAUGUGGAUAGUGUAUAUUAUAGGGGAGACUAGCGAAUUUUUUUUAUUGGUCGAAUAACUGAAAAGAGGGGUAUAUUUUUAUAAUACCUACGUAUAUGCAAAAACAAAUGAUGUAGACUUGUCCCAAUGCAUAUGCAGACCAUGCAUGAUGCAAUGAUUCAUAUUAUAUCCCUAGGACUCUAUUGUCUUUAGACUGGUGCAGAUGUUUCAGUUAAAAUAUGUAGGAUGACAUAGGACCAUACUUCAUUCUAAUUUGAGAUCCACAACAAUAUAUCAUGCUAUGUAAAUUUGUUUUGGUACAUAUGUAUCCUCAUUCCAUUCCCGAAGCAGCAUUUAUGAUGCACACUCAUGUUAUAUAUGUACAUAUACAUCUAUAUGUAUUUAUAAGUAUCAUAAAUAGCAUUGGCUGAAUUGUAAAUCUCUAACAAGGGAAAUAAAAUAACUCUUGUCUGCAGUAAGUAUCGUGGUAUCAUGGACCUCUAUUUAGACCGUAGGUGGAUGAGUCGGCGAAAGUCAGGUGCCCGGAUAGGUGCUUCAGAUGAAUUUAGAGCUGGUUGCUAAGUGUUUUUAGAUUAUGCAUAUAGUAACCCAAAAUGAGUGAAUGGUCAGAACAAGAUAAGAUGCCCUUGUUUGAAGUGUAAGAAUAUAAAUUACAUGGACAGAGACAUUGUCAACUAUCAUUUACUUGUUUCUAGGUUCAUGAAAAAAUACGAAGAAUGCUAGUGGGCACAUGGUCAGAGAAGAGAUAGUGGUACAUCACACGUACACAAUUCGGGCAGUAGUACUCAUCGUAUGAAUGAAAUGGUUCAUGAUAUUGUAGGGUCGGAUUUUGAUUAGAAACAAGGUAGAGAGCAACCUAUGAAUUCUUAUGCCAAAGCGUUCUUUAAGUUGUCAGACGAGGGUAGAGAGUCGUUGUGGCAUGGUUGCACCAAGCACACUACAUUUUCUGCAGUGGUGACAUUACUUAACAUCAAGGUUGAUCACAACAUGAGCCAUGAGUGUUUUGAGUCGCUUUUGAAUGCCAUUAAGAGUAUGUUGUAUGAGACUAAAAAAUUUCCCAAAAACUACUACUAUUGUAAGAAAAUGGUGAAGAAGUUGGGUCUUGGAUACUAAAAGAUCGAUGCAUGUCCGAACGAUUGCAUUUUAUUUUAUAAGGAAGAUUAACAUGAGACAAGGUGCACAUUUUGCAGUCAUAAUCGGUUUAGGCCUAAUAGAGAGGGUCUGACAACAAAAAAAACAAAUAUACCUUUUAAGAUUUUAAGGUAUUUUCCAAUUACGGCUAAAAAGAUUGUAUAUGUCUUCCAAAAUAGCUGAACAUGUGACUUGGCAUGCGAAAUCUCAAGCUAAAGAUAGGGAACUAAACCAUCCCGCAGAUGGGAAGGCUUGAAAAGAUUUCAACUUAGCACAUCCUGGGUUUGCAUUGGAACCUAGGAAUGUGAGGCUUGGAUUGUCCACUGAUGGUUUCAACCCGUUCGGCCACUCUGCUGUUCCGUACUCUUGCUGGCCUGUGAUUGUUACUCCAUACAACUUGCCUCCUUGGAUGUGUAUGAAACAACCAUAUUUAGUUUUUUCACUUGUGAUUCCUAUUCCCAAGAGUCCUGGAAAGAACCUAGAUGUUUACUUGAGACCUCUGAUAGACGAGUUGAAGGUAUUGUGGGAGGAUGGAGUACAGACUUGUGAAGUUUUCUCAAAAAUAAAUUUCAACCUUAGGGCUGCGGUUAUGUGGACUAUAAGUGACUUCCUUGAUUAUGGUAUGUUAGCUAGAUGGAGUACACAUGGUAAGUUGGCUUGUCCGUAUUGUAUGGAGCGUACAAAGUCCUUCAAUCUAUCAAAAGGUAGAAAGCCUUGCUUGUUUAACUGUCAUCGUCGAUUCUUGCCGGUAGAUCACCCAUUUCGAAAAAACAUAGAACACUUCAAGAAAGGGAAAGUAGACAAUGAUAUGCCUGCACCGCGAUUUUCGGGGACGGAGAUGUGUGACCAUGUGAUGAGAUUAUCGGUUAUCUCAUUUGGAAAGACUGUUUCCUCAAACACAAUCGAUGGGUUUGGCGAGUCUCAUAAUUGGGUUCACAAAAACAUCUUUUGGGAACUGACUUAUUAGUCUACAAAUUUGAUUUGGCAUAAUCUAGAUGUGAUGCAUAUUGAGAAGAAUGUGUUCGACAAUGUGUUUAACAUCGUGAUGAGUGUUACAGGAAAGAGGAAAGAUAAUGAUAAAGCACGGUUAGACAUGAAAGAUAUUUGUAAACGUCCUGGAUUAGAACUUUAUGAAUCUACAAUUGGUAAAAUGUUCAAACCGCAUGCAAGAUACACAUUGUCCAAAAAGCAGGUUGAAGAAGUGUGCACAUGGAUUAAGUCUCUCAAACUACCAAAUGGAUAUGCGUCAAACAUUGCAAGGUGUGUUACGGGUGGGAAAUUGCAAGGGAUGAAGAAUCAUAACUGUCAUGUGUUCAUGGAAAGACUCGUGCAUGUUUAUAGCAUUUUGGGAUAUGCUUGAUAAACCAAUAUGGGAUGCUUUGACUGAUCUUAGUUAUUUUUUCAGAGACUUGUGUCCCAAAACAUUAAAUGAGAAGGACAUGUCAGUACAUCAUUGAGAUCACGUGUAAGCUUAAAACAAUAUUCCUGCCUGGUUUUUUUUGUCUCCAUGGAGCAUUUGCAAAUCCAUCUUCCCUAUGAAGCUCAUGUUAGGAGUCCAUUUCAAUAUAAAUGGAUGUACCCUUUCGAAAGGGUGAUGGGAAACCAUAAGAGGAAGGUGAAAAUAGAGCUUAUGUCGAGGGGUCGAUAUGUGAGGCAUACAGUUUCAAUGAGAUAUCUACGUUUAUCUCAGACUAUUUUCCCGACGAAGUCUUGACAAAGGUCAAUCGAGUCUCGAGACAUGAUGAUGGGGGUAAUGUUGAACUAAAUGGUCGGCAUUCUGUAUUUGGUCUAUCAGGUCGCGCUUAUAGAAAAAGAAAGCGCAUAUUCCUCUUUGAACAAGAUUUACAUGCUGCACAUACUUACAUUGUAAGACCCCAACUUUUAUGAAUAAAGAAUAAUUUUCUCAAAAUAUAUUUUUGAAUAUUAUGGUGUGGAUUUGAUAUAAUGUUAUAGUUGUGGGAGAAACCUUCAUUACAUCCACUGUUUAUAAGUCUUGUUUGAUUCAAAUCGGUAACUGCGCGUUACCUGUCGAACUUAUUUCCUUGAAAAUACUUGCAUUUGAUGUGAUUUUAGGGAUUGAUUGAUUAACUACUCAUCAUGCUAAAAUCGAUUGUUUUCGUAAGUUUGUUAGCUUUCAUAUUCCUAACCAACCUAUUAUGUGAAUUCAAGCAACCAAACCACUAAAAUCAAUCACUGUUAUAUCAAGUCAUAAAGCUAUUCGUUUAUUAAAAAAUGGAUGUCAAGCUUUCUUAGCCCAUGUCACGGAUUUAAAUAAAAAUAGGUCAGAUUUGAAUGAUAUUUCUAUUGUUAAUAAAUUUCCUGACGUAUUCCCUGAAGAACUUCCUGGCCUACCCCCAGAGCGUGAAAUUGAAUUUUGUAUCGACCUUGAAUUCGGUACAAAACCCAUUUCCAAAGCCCCAUAUUGAAUGGCUUCUAUUGAACUUCAGGAGUUAAAAACCCAACUACAGGAAUUGUUAGACAUCAGUUACAUUCAUCCUAGUACGUCUCCUUGGGGUGCUCCUGUUCUAUUCGUGAAGAAGAAAGAUGGAAGUAUGCGACUUUGUAUUGAUUAUCAGGAGUUGAAUCAUGUCACCAUCAAAAAUAGGUACCCGUUGCCUCGCAUUGAUGACCUAUUUGACCAGUUGCAAGGAGCCAAAUUCUUUUUAAAGAUUGAUCUUCGUUCCAGAUAUCAUCAGUUGAAGAAUAAAAUUGAUGACAUUCCAAAUACUGCUUUCAGAACUCGGUACGGGCAUUAUAAAUUCCUAGUCAUGUCUUUUAGAUUGACUAAUGCUCCUACUGCCUUCAUGGACAUGAUGAACCGAGUAUUCAAGGAAUAUUUGGAUCACUUUUUGGUUGUCUUUAUUGAUGACAUCCUCAUAUACUCCAAAACCCGUGAAGACCAUGAGCAACACUUAAGGCUGAUACUCCAAAAGUUUCGUGAAAACAAGCUAUAUGCCAAGUUAAAGAAAUGUGAGUUCUGGCUUGAGGAAGUUGCAUUACUUGGGCACGUGAUAUCAAAUCAUGGAAUAUCUGUUGACCCAGCAAAGAUUGAAGCAAUUCAAAGCUGGGAGCAACCAAAGUUAGUGACUGAAGUACAUAGCUUUCUCGGCUUAGCUGGUUAUUAUCGGAGAUUCGUGGAAGGAUUUUCUCGAAUCGCUACUCCAUUAACUCAGCUGACUCGAAAAGAUACAAAGUUCAGUUAGAGCGAGGAAUGUGAGAAGAGUUUUCAAGAACUCAAGAGAAGACUCAUUUCAGCACCUAUUCUGACAAUACCAUCUGGCUCGAAGGGAUUUGUCAUCUACAGUGAUGCUUCAGGCAAAGGGUUAGGAUGUGUUCUCAUGCAACAUGGGAAAGUCAUAGCCUAUGCCUCUCGAAAACUCAUUGAAUAUGAGAGAAAUUAUUCUACUCAUGAUCUAGAGUUGGCAGCAGUCGUUUUUGCGCUUAAGAUUUGGAGGCAUUACCUGUAUGGAGAGAAGGUGGAGAUCUAUACGGAUCAUAAAAGCCUCAAAUAUUUCUUUACUCAAAAGGAACUCAACAUGCGACAACGACGAUGGCUUGAGUUGUUGAAAGAUUAUGAUCAUACCAUCCAAUACCAUCCUGGAAAAGCGAACGUAGUAGCUAACGCACUGAGUAGAAGAUCAUAUGCGGGUACAAGUGCAAUAUUGUCAACGCAAAGGCCCAUUUUGUAUGACUUGGAAAGGAUGGAAAUAGAGUUAAAGACUCCAGGGACCCAUGUGAUGAUGGUGAAUAUACAAGUAGAAUCGACUUUAAUUGAUAAAGUUAAAGCUGCUCAACUUACGGACCUAGAGCUGAUGCGUAUGAGGAAGAAAGUACAAGAAGGUGCUAUUCCAGAAGUAAGAAUCGAUGAAGAAGGAAUACUUUGAGUCAACUCCAGACUUUGUGUUCCUAACGAUUCUGACUUGAAGUAUAAAAUCAUGAUGGAGGCGCACAACACACCGUUUGCAAUCCAUCCUGGGAGUACAAAAAUGUAUCGUGAUCUUCGACAUACAUUUUGGUAGAGAAAUAUGAAGAGAGAGAUAGCGGGGUUUAUCUCAAGGUGUCUAGCUUGUCAACGAGUCAUGGCAGAGCAUCAAGUGCCAAAAGAUCCAUUGCAACCACUUAAAAUUCCAGAAUGGAAGUGGGAUCACAUUAUCAUGGAUUUCAUUAGUGGUCUUCCCAAAGUUUCUCAAGGCAUAGAUGCAAUUUGGGUCAUUGUUGAUAGAUUGACCAAGUCUGCUCAUUUCUUACCGAUACGAGAAACUUUUACACUUGAACGUCUUGCUAGUAUGUACAUAAAUGAGAUUGUAAGAUUGCAUGGUAUGUAAAUAUCCAUAGUUUCUGAUCGAGACCCAAGAUUCACUUCAAGAUUUUAGGUUAGUUUGCAAAAAGCUAUGGGCACGGAUUUACGAUUUAGUUCGGCAUAUCAUCCUCAAACGGAUGGGUAGUCGAAAAGGACUAUUCAAACUCUUGAAGAUUUAUUAAGACUCUGUGUCCUUGACUUCAAAGGAAGUUGGGACAAGUUCUUACCAUUGGUGGAGUUUUCCUACAAUAAUAGUUAUCAAGCAAGUAUUGGCAUGGCUCCAUUUGAGGCGUUGUAAGGAAGAAAGUGUCGUUCUCCAGUAUGUUGGGAUGAGGUGGGUGAAGCAACGUUGUUGGGAUCGAAUUUGGUACGUAUGACUACGGAAAAGAUUUAAACGAUCCGACAACAUAUAAAAACCUCACAAGAUCGACAAAAGAGUUAUGUUGAUCUUCAUCGAAAGGACGUGGAAUUCAAUAUUGGAGAUCAUGUGUUGUUACGUGUUCCUCCAUGGAAAGGAGUUACGAGAUUUGGAAAGAGAGAAAAGCUCAAUCCUCGAUUCAUUGGCCCAUUUUUAAUCCUCGGUCGAGUAGGAACUGUGGCCUAUAGACUCGCCUUACCGCCAAGUAUGUCUCGUGUACAUAAUGUUUUUCACAUAUCUAUGUUACAUAAAUAUGUGAAAGACCUGAACCACAUUAUUGAAUUAGAACCAGACGAGAUAGAGGAAGAUUUAACGUAUGAAGAUUUACCUGUUAAAAUCUUGGAUAAGAAGGAUCAUAUUCUACGCUCCAAGGUUAUACCUCAAGUCAAAGUUUUGUGGAGAAACCACGAUGUGGAAGAAAUGACCUGGGAGUUAGAAUCUGAGAUGAAGUCAAGAUAUCCUCACCUCUUCGAUAUACCAGGUACGUACCCUAAUUUCGAGGACGAAAUUUCAUAAGAAGGGGAGGUUGUAAGACCCCAACUUUUAUGAAUAAAGAAUAAUUUUCUCGAAAUAUAUUUUUGAAUAUUAUGGUGUGGAUUUGAUAUAAUGUUAUAGUUGUGGGUAAUAUUUACAAAUUUUGCAAAGUAAGCAAGUGGUUAUAUAAUAUUCGAUUGGUCGGGGAAUAUUCGUUUUAACAGGGAAUAUUCGUACGACGGCACAAUCAUUGGUGGACCCCACAACGGAAGUAUUGUCGUAGUUAGAAAAUGACAGAAUUAUCUUUUUAUAAAAAUAACGGCGAAAGUGUUACCGUUAAAACUGUUGAACUACCCGGUAGUAAAAGUACAGUAAUACGCGUGGUUGCAUAGUAGCACACGGUAUUGAUUAUUGAUGCUUACGUGAGAAGUCACUCAGUUAUACUCAAUUAUUGCUACAGUAAUUGCUGCAUCAUAUCUCUCAUAUUAUUGAUUCAAUUAUUGUCACAGUAUCAUCUGCAUAAUAUGUUAUAUUAUUAAAUCAAUAAUUGAGACGACAAAGUUAUUCAUAUUAUUAUUUGCAAUAUUGACAAUGUCUAGAAGUUCUGUCAAGGAGAGGUUUGGUCACCUAAUUGCGCGCCAAUAAGGAGAAAUCCUUAUCGGAAAGCCCCCUCUUUCCUGGGAACGACCUGGUUGUUAAAUAUUGUGAGUUAUAAUAUUAAUGAUGAAUAAGUUCGUGUUGAUUAAAGAUGAAAUUGAUAGUUCCAUUGUGUUGGAAUUAUUAGUGUUAGUGGAAAUCGACAUUUAUUUCGAUAAUAAUUGAUGUCUGGAGGUUAUAUUGACCAAUCGGGUAAUUAACCGGAUAAAUGAGCAAUUAAUUGCUAUUAAUUCACAUGAUUAUAACUAUUUGUUCACAUGUGUGUACUAUUGAUUCACAUUCUUGUACUAUUAGGGGAGUUGGUGCAAGAUUGAUAAUACUUGCAUGACUAAGUUAAAAAUGGAGGUAUAGAUGGAGGUACUAUACUGUAAUUCGUAUUUUCACAUGUCUAGAACUAUUGAUUCACAUGAUUUACUAUUGAUUCACAUGAUUUACUAUUAGGGGAGGUGGUGCAAGUUUGAUAAUACUUGCAGGACUAAAUUAAAAAUGAAGGAAAAGAGGAAGGUAUUAUACUGUAAUAUUUCGAGCCCCAAAACGUGCAAUUAUCGAAACUAUAUUUUCCUAUAAAUAGAAGCUCAUUCUUCCUUCAUUUCUCACCAAUUCACUAAAGCUAUAGAGCAAUUAUUAUAGAGAGAAAUUAUAGAGAGAAAGAAGAAGAGAAGUCUGCUACCUCACUAUUCCAGUAUCCAGUUUUCUUCUAAGGUAAGGGGUAUUAUUUCUUUCGUAUUCAUGAAGAGAGCUAUUGUUAUUCCAUUCCUUAUUAUUCUGUUGGAAUAACCUGUAUACGCGGACUACCGUAUACAUGGUGAAAUUCUUCUGUUAUUCCAUUCUUUAUUAUUAUGUUGGAAUAACCUGUCUAUGCGAAGUACCGCAUACAUGGUGAAAUUCUUCUGUUAUUCCAUUCUUUAUUAUUCUGUUGGAAUAACCUGUCUAUGCGAAGUACCGCAUGCAUGGUGAUUUCUUUUGUUAUUCCAUUCUUUAUUAUACUCAGUUGGUUAAAGUUUUGACUUCUAUACUCCAUGAAAUUAGUGGAAUAUCCUUGAUAUUUGCGCUUCAUCCAGUAUCUUUUCAUGGAAAUAUUCUUCUGAGCAUUCUUGAAUUUUACUCUACAAAGAAGUAUCAUGUUGACAAUUUGGACGUUAUUAGUUCCUGGAUAAAUUAAUUCUUGAACUUGUUUUAUUGAAUUCUUAUAUCAUUGUCAUCAUCCUCAUGUUUAUAUUUUGUUGAAAGUCAUCUGUGGCCUGUAGUGCAUAGAUGGACUUGGUAUGAUUAUGACCAGGGAUUAUUCGGUGUAAUCAUGACCGUAAUGUUACAAAUGAUGUGGUAAAAGUCCUCAUUGGCCCGUAGUGCAUUGAUGGACAGUUGUUGGCAUGAUCAUGACCAUUAAUGAAUACACAAAUAUUCUUGGCCCGUAGUGCAUGGAUAAUUGUGGUCGUGAUACUAAAGAAUAUCCUUGGCCGUAGUGCAGGGGUGAUUCGAUGAUGUGGAUUAUUUAUUAAGCUGAGUCCCAGCGAUAAAAGUGAUGAAAAACCUUUUAAAUCAUAAAAGAUAGUAGAUUUUAUUCUCUACUUGACUCUUUUAAUGGAUUGCUUGUUCCGCUGCAGUUAAACUUGAUGUUUGUUAUAUUGUAUCAGUUUAACACUGUUUAAGGCUAAUGAUAAUUUAUUCUGCAUUAUCUUAGUCAUAAUAUUUCUUACUGGGCUAGUUGAGCUCACCCUUUCUUUCACUGUUCUCUUCAGGAAAUGAGAACGUAGCCGGGACUAGUCGGAAGACGGAGUGACGGUCCAGAUGAUAGCAUUAGUAGUCAUCACUAUUCUCUUGAAUAGUAUGACAAUAAAUGUAAUGAGGACUCCAUUGAGUGUGGAUAUUGUCUAGAUGAUAAUAUUCUUAUUAAAACUCUUAGAUUAUGUUUUAUUGUAUUUUACACGACUGUUGUAUAAUUAAGUUGUAUUUGAAUUUUGUACCAUGUAUUUGGCGACUCAAGAUGGGUGAUAUAUACCUGUUUUGGGGGCGUCACAUACAUUCUUCUCAAUUGCGUGGAGAUUAACGAAUUUAUGAGGUACACAUAUAAAAUUUCAAUUAUUUUAGGGAUAGCUAUAUCUUAACCUACAAUGAUAUACAUUCCAAUAUGUUAAUGUUUAUAAAAUAUUAUAGAUCAUACGAUGAUGAGUUAAAAGUGAAUCAGCCCGGCAUAACUGAUAAAGAUGUUCAAAUCAGUCGUGAUAAAAACUUUGUAAGGUGGCUUAAGGGAAAAAGUAUGCUACAUAUAUUAAGCAUUAAUAUAUACUCCAUUAAUUUAAGACUUCAUUUAAUGUAAUAGAGUUUUUAUAUGAUCUUACUAAGGGAACGAUUUCGGAUAAUGUACAAGUCCUAGCUAUGGGCCCAGACAUGGACCAAGUCAGCUGCAAUAGUUACAAGAUCAAUGGUUGUGAAUUUUAUAUAAAGGCAUAUGUGACAACCCAAAUUUUUAUAAAUUAUUAAAAUAAAAAUUUAAUAAUUACAAUUCUUAUUAUGAGAUGUAUAUAUUUUGAAUUAUGUGUUUUGGUGUGAAUAAAUUAAAUUUUUAUGAGAUUUAAUAGUUGAUUAAACUAUUGAAGAAAGUGAAGCAAAUUAGUUAUGAAAAAAGGAAAAUGGCGACAAAAGAAAUUAACUAAAUAAUAUUAGUUAAUUGAGAUGGAACAUAUAUUGUGGAAUAAUAUAAUUUAAUUGGUAUGCCUUGAUUGGCGAUUGAAUUGUUAUGAAUUAAAUUUCAUAAAUAAUGUGAGUAAUUCACAUAAUUAAAAUAAUGAAUUAAUGUAAAUGUAAUUGUUUUAAUAAAAUGAGAGUAUAUAUAUAUAUAUAUAUAUAUAUAUAUAUAUAUAUAUAUAUAUAUAUAUANNNNNNNNNNNNNNNNNNNNNNNNNNNNNNNNNNNNNNNNNNNNNNNNNNNNNNNNNNNNNNNNNNNNNNNNNNNNNNNNNNNNNNNNNNNNNNNNNNNNNNNNNNNNNNNNNNNNNNNNNNNNNNNNNNNNNNNNNNNNNNNNNNNNNNNNNNNNNNNNNNNNNNNNNNNNNNNNNNNNNNNNNNNNNNNNNNNNNNNNNNNNNNNNNNNNUAGAUGGUUUUGAUGCAUGAUUUUUUUAAGGAAGUGGUUAUACAUGUUAAUGGUUAUGUUUAAUUCAUUUCAUAUAAUCUAAAAGUGGUUUUAGGGUGAUCAAAUUUAUGAAAGUAUGAUUAAACUAGAAGAAAUUGAGUUCUUAUAGAUAUAUGUACGUUAGGGCUUGUUUUGGAAUCAAAAUUGAUGAUGAAAUCAUGAUUUAAUCUGAAAUUGAUUAUAGAUAUUGUUAGUGUAUUGAAUUACAAAAACAACGAAAGUUAAAUGGAUUGAUUUGGUUAGGAAUCGAAUCUAUGGUGAAUGAUUAUGCUAAAUAUGUUAAAACAUAUAAAACUAAUAUGAACAUGAGUUUUGGGUCAAGAUUUAGGCUAGUUAGUGUUUCUAUAAAUUGUUAUAAUUCUAGUACGUUAUAGUUCUAUGAAUUACGAAUCUAUAGAAUCGAAAAUGGACUAAUUUGGAUGUGUAUAACUCAAGUUAUGAUGAUUAGUAGGAGAAAAGGGUCAAAAAUCGCAUGAACAGUAACUUCAGAGUCCCGUUUCUGCUAACGGGCACAGCUGCGCUGUGUCCUAAGUCAUUUGGGGCACAACAGCGCUCUAGGAUGCAGUUGCACUGUGACCAAGGCUUAAUUGGGCGCAGCUGCGCCCAAAAUAUGCCGGGUGUGACUGUUUUGACCUGUUUUAGUAAAAUAGGCAUAACGUUUUCAUAUGAACUCCGCUUGAGGCGAUUCAGGAUGAUCUGGAACGAGGAUAAAUAGACCUACAACUUUAUUCUUUAAGUUUUUCAAUUUAAGGUUUAGAACAGGGGUCAAAAUGGUCAUCGUUAGGACUAUUGUGUUUUUGGGGAUAAUCGGAGGGCGUCGAGCAUGCACGUAUGCUAGUGUAGUGUUUCUGACGAUAAAAGAUGUUAUUCUAAGUUAUAAAACAUGAAUGUUAGUAAACAUAAUGAUUCUUAACAUUAAUAAAUGAUGUAUUAGAUAAUUUGUAUAAGCAUACAUAAGAGAGACAAAUCGGGCGUGUGACGAAUGAAUGUCGAAAUGCCGUAACAAAUGUUAAUGAACGUAAAAAGUGUUUUAAGUCAAAGGGUUAUGAGAUGUAGAGUAAAGUUUACAUUACAACUUCUAUGCGUUGCUAUGUAACUAAUAGCUGAUGUGUAUGAUUAUAUAAUUGUAUAGGACACGUGAAGUGCAGAUAACUGUAAGCUGUUAAACUGUUAUUGGUAAACAACGAUCAAGGCAAGUCUUUCAGUUCCUAUUUGCUAUAUGAAUUUGAUGAUGAACUAUUUUAAAUCUUUAUUGCAAAUAGCAUGAUGUUUUACAUAUAUGUUGAAAGUAUGAAACGUUAAAGUCAAUCUAUGACUAUGAUGAUUGAGCUAUGAAUGUUAAUUGUGUAAGGAACUCAAUCUUUAUACUUGUUAUGUGAACUGCAACAUGUAUGUUACGUUAGUCCAAUGAUUAUGAGAUAUAUGUUGAGCAUGUUGUUGUGCUACGUGAUGCAUGAAAACUGUUAGAUUUUGCUGGGUUAUCGAGCUCAACCUUGCAAAUAACCAAUUUUGCAGGUUAAGGAUAUAAGGUAACUUUAUGUGUUACUUGAAAGACAUGAAUCAGAUGUAAUGCAUGAAGAUCUAAUAUCCUAGCCAAGUUGUUAUUCUUGUAAACCAUGCCUAAUGUUUCGGUAAAUGUAUUAAUAUUGAAUUGUAAUAUUAUUUUGCGAUGUAAACUCUUGUAGUAUUAAAAUGAUUCUGAGAUACUUCGAUGUAAAGGUUGAAAGUUUUGGGAACGAAAAUAGUUUGUAAUAGAAAAUUUUAAUUAUUCCGUAA